rnacentral:rRNA from 1 species
AGUGAACGCUGGCGGUAGGCCUAACACAUGCAAGUCGAACGGCAGCACAGUAAGAGCUUGCUCUUACGGGUGGCGAGUGGCGGACGGGUGAGGAAUACAUCGGAAUCUACUUUUUCGUGGGGGAUAACGUAGGGAAACUUACGCUAAUACCGCAUACGACCUACGGGUGAAAGCAGGGGAUCUUCGGACCUUGCGCGAUUGAAUGAGCCGAUGUCGGAUUAGCUAGUUGGCGGGGUAAAGGCCCACCAAGGCGACGAUCCGUAGCUGGUCUGAGAGGAUGAUCAGCCACACUGGAACUGAGACACGGUCCAGACUCCUACGGGAGGCAGCAGUGGGGAAUAUUGGACAAUGGGCGCAAGCCUGAUCCAGCCAUACCGCGUGGGUGAAGAAGGCCUUCGGGUUGUAAAGCCCUUUUGUUGGAAAAGAAAAGCAGCAGGUUAAUACCCCGCUGUUCCGACGGUACCCAAAGAAUAAGCACCGGCUAACUUCGUG